rnacentral:pre_miRNA from 13 species
UGGACAUCCUGCUCCGUCGCCCCAGUGUUCAGACUACCUGUUCAGGACAAUGCCGUUGUACAGUAGUCUGCACAUUGGUUAGACUGGGCAAGGGAGAGCG